ACACGGGGGGCGCAAGCGUUAUUCGGAAUUAUUGGGCGUAAAGGGCGUGUAGGCGGUUUUAUCGGUCAGAUGUGAAAGCCCAGGGCUCAACCCUGGACGUGCAUUUGAAACAGUAAGACUUGAGUACGGUAGAGGAAAGCGGAAUUCCUGGCGUAGAGGUGAAAUUCGUAGAUAUCAGGAGGAACACCGAUGGCGAAGGCAGCUUUCUGGACCGAAACUGACGCUCAUGCGCGAAGGCGUGGGUAGCGAACAGGAUUAGAAACCCCAGUAGUCC
rnacentral:rRNA from 1 species